AGCGGGGAGGAAGGCGAUAAGGUUAAUAACCUUGUCGAUUGACGUUACCCGCAGAAGAAGCACCGGCUAACUCCGUGCCAGCAGCCGCGGUAAUACGGAGGGUGCAAGCGUUAAUCGGAAUUACUGGGCGUAAAGCGCACGCAGGCGGUCUGUCAAGUCGGAUGUGAAAUCCCCGGGCUCAACCUGGGAACUGCAUUCGAAACUGGCAGGCUAGAGUCUUGUAGAGGGGGGUAGAAUUCCAGGUGUAGCGGUGAAAUGCGUAGAGAUCUGGAGGAAUACCGGUGGCGAAGGCGGCCCCCUGGACAAAGACUGACGCUCAGGUGCGAAA
rnacentral:rRNA from 1 species